rnacentral:rRNA from 1 species
AACGAACGCUGGCGGCAGGCUUAACACAUGCAAGUCGAACGCAACGCAAGGGGAGUGGCAGACGGGUGAGCAACACGUGGGGAUCUGCCCAGUGGUACGGAAUAGCUCCGGGAAACUGGAAUUGAUACCGUAGGUGCCAGCAAAGGGGACGAUUUAUCGACAUUGGAGGAACCCGCGUCGGAUUAGCUAGUUGGUGGGGUAAAGGCCCACCAAGGCAACGAGACGUAGCUGGUCUGUGAGGAGGAUCAGCCACACUGGGGCUGAGACACGGCCGAGACUCCUACGGGAGGCAGCAGUGGGGAAUAUUGGACAAUGGGCGCAAGCCUGAUCCAGCCAGGCCGCGUGAGUGAUGAAGGCCUUAGGGUUGUAAAGCUCUUUCGCCGCCGAAGAUAAUGACGGUAGUCGGAGAAGAAGCCCCGGCUAACUUCGUGCCAGCCGCCGCAGUAAUAC